GGUGGACGCUGGCGGUAGGCCUAACACAUGCAAGUCGAACGGCAGCACAGUAAGAGCUUGCUCUUACGGGUGGCGAGUGGCGGACGGGUGAGGAAUACAUCGGAAUCUACUUUUUCGUGGGGGAUAACGUAGGGAAACUUACGCUAAUACCGCAUACGACCUACGGGUGAAAGCAGGGGAUCUUCGGACCUUGCGCGAUUGAAUGAGCCGAUGUCGGAUUAGCUAGUUGGCGGGGUAAAGGCCCACCAAGGCGACGAUCCGUAGCUGGUCGGAGAGGAUGAUCGGCCACACUGGAACUGAGACACGGUCCAGACUCCUACGGGAGGCAGCAGUGGGGAAUAUUGGGCAAUGGGCGCAAGCCUGAUCCAGCCAUACCGCGUGGGUGAAAAAGGCCUUCGGGUUGUAAAGCCCUUUUGUUGGGAAAGAAAAGCAGCAGGUUAAUACCCCGCUGUUCUGACGGUACCCAAAGAAUAAGCACCGGCUAACUUCGUG
rnacentral:rRNA from 1 species